rnacentral:rRNA from 1 species
GACGAACGCUGGCGGCGUGCCUAAUACAUGCAAGUUGAGCGCUGAAGGUUGGUACUUGUACCGACUGGAUGAGCAGCGAACGGGUGAGUAACGCGUGGGGAAUCUGCCUUUGAGCGGGGGACAACAUUUGGAAACGAAUGCUAACACCGCAUAAAAACUUUAAACACAAGUUUUAAGUUUGAAAGAUGCAAUUGCAUCACUCAAAGAUGAUCCCGCGUUGUAUUAGCUAGUUGGUGAGGUAAAGGCUCACCAAGGCGAUGAUACAUAGCCGACCUGAGAGGGUGAUCGGCCACAUUGGGACUGAGACACGGCCCAAACUCCUACGGGAGGCAGCAGUAGGGAAUCUUCGGCAAUGGACGAAAGUCUGACCGAGCAACGCCGCGUGAGUGAAGAAGGUUUUCGGAUCGUAAAACUCUGUUGGUAGAGAAGAACGUUGGUGAGAGUGGAAAGCUCAUCAAGUGACGGUAACUACCCAGAAAGGGACGGCUAACUACGUG